UCUGAGCUUUGUAACGUGGGCUUGUCACCAAGUGGAGCAUUAAGGUAUUUGAAUAAUUUGGUAAUGAAUUCAAGGUUGACAUUAUGAGCUAUCUUUGAUUUGCCCGUUUCCAAGUUGGGCAGUGGAUGGUAUGUUUUUGGCUAACGCUUGAAUCAUAUUCUCCCUAAACUUGAGGGUAAUGCGUGAGGCUGGUUUCAUAGAGAAGCGAUUACCUCUCUCUCUCAACGGUGGAAGGAUUACAAUUCAUUUGCUCAUAUUGUCAAUUUGCCUUGGAAUCCACCAAAUUCAACUAAUAUUUUU
rnacentral:SRP_RNA from 1 species